AGGGGAAGAGGGCGAGGGAGAGCUCACCGGCGAUGGUGGAGCUCUCGCCGGUUCUCACUGAUGAAGGAGUUUCCGGCGCUGCUAGAGAGAAGAAAAGAAACAGUUUUCAAAAUAGGGUUUGGUCUUUUAGUGUUAAAAUAGGAAAGAUGGAAACUUUGAUCUUGACCAUUGGAUCAGUUUAGAUGAGCGGCUAGGAUUGAUCUAGGGUUUAAUUUAAAGGAUGGACGGUUGAGAUUAAAAGAGAAUUAAAUCUGAUUUCGGAAUAAGAAUAGGCUAAAAUUCAAACUAAAAUUGAUAUAAGAGGUUAUAAUUGAAAAACGAAAUUGGAUUGAGGUGGCUGGAAUUGAAAUGGAUUAGAAUAGAAUAGGCUAACAUUUAAAUAAUUUUGAGGGAAUUUAAAGAAAUGCUAUCCAAUUAAAAUACUACAAAAUAUUUAAAAUACUUAAAUUUUUAAACAUUUGAAUUAUUUCGAGUUUUACUAAUAUUUAUAGUAUUCACAAUAAUUUUUAUAAAACAUGCAUAAUAAAUAUAUAAUUUUUAGACAAAAUUAAUUAAAAUUUUAAACCUAAAAUAUGUUUUAAAAAUACGUAUUUAAUCGAAUAGCACUCCCGAAAGUGUUAAAGGUCGGUCAAAAUUGGGUGUCAACAAUUGUUCCUUGGUUGCUUGAGAAUGAAGAUGAAUUGUCGGGCAACCAAUGUUGACUUAGUAGCCGAUUUUUUCCGACCUACGAGAGAUGUCAGUGGGAUCAAUUGAAAUGGCAUAGAGUUGAAAGAGGUACGACUGAGACUUUGGUAUUAAG
rnacentral:lncRNA from 1 species